AUUGAACGCUGGCGGCAUGCCUAACACAUGCAAGUCGAGCGAGCGGCGGACGGGUGAGUAAUGUAUGGGAAUCUGCCUGAUGGAGGGGGAUAACUACUGGAAACGGUAGCUAAUACCGCAUACCAUCAGAUGUGCCCAUAUGGGAUUAGCUAGUAGGUGGGGUAACGGCUCACCUAGGCGACGAUCCCUAGCUGGUCUGAGAGGAUGACCAGCCACACUGUGACGGAGACACGGCCCAGACUCCUACGGGAGGCAGCAGUGGGGAAUAUUGCACAAUGGGCGCAAGCCUGAUACAGCCAUGCCGCGUGUGUGAAGAAGGCCUUCGGGUUGUAAAGCACUUUCAGCGGGGAGGCGUUACCCGCAGAAGAAGCACCGGCUAACUCCGUGCCAGCCGCCGCGGUAAUUC
rnacentral:rRNA from 1 species